CGUCAGCUCGUGUCGUGAGAUGUUGGGUUAAGUCCCGCAACGAGCGCAACCCUUAUUCUUAGUAGCCAGCAGGUAAAGCUGGGCACUCUAAGGAGACUGCCAGGGAUAACCUGGAGGAAGGUGGGGAUGACGUCAAAUCAUCAUGCCCCUUAUGAUUUGGGCUACACACGUGCUACAAUGGCGUAAACAAAGGGAGGCGAAGCCGCGAGGCCGAGCGAACCUCAAAAAUAACGUCUCAGUUCGGAUUGCAGGCUGCAACCCGCCUGCAUGAAGCCGGAAUCGCUAGUAAUCGCGGAUCAGAAUGCCGCGGUGAAUACGUUCCCGGGUCUUGUACACACCGCCCGUCACACCAUGGGAGUCGAUAACGCCCGAAGUCAGUGACCCAACCGAAAGGAGGGAGCUGCCGAAGGCGGGAUGGAUAACUGGGGUGAAGUCGUAACAAGGUAGCCGUAUCGGAAGGUGCGGUUGGAUCACCUC
rnacentral:rRNA from 1 species